AUGACUAUUUAUAUAUAUUAUUGUCAUAAGGCAAACACAAAGUUUGAGAUUAUUGUGACGACUCAAGGGGGGAACUUCCCUCACUUUUUGAUGGGACACAGGCGUUACCUGUUAGGAGGGAAUGCAAAGACAAUAAAACCCGACAAACGGAAGUUGGUCUUAUCUUUUGACGACCCAAAUAUCAGAUGGAGUCGAUUCAAGCACCACAUGUUGGAAAUACUGCACCAUAGUGACAUAAGGGGCAUCGCAUUCAGGAAACCUAAUGAUUCCAUAUACACCUUCCCAAUGCCUGAUUGCAUGUGCCAACAAGAUGGUAUAUGA
rnacentral:rRNA from 1 species